UACGGAGGGUGCGAGCGUUGUUCGGAAUCAUUGGGCGUAAAGCGCGCGCAGGCGGUCUGGGAAGUCUAUGGGUGAAAUGCCGGGGCUCAACUCCGAGCAUGCCCAGGAUACUCUCAGGCUAGAGACAUGUAGAGGCUGGCGGAAUUCCGGGUGUAGCGGUGGAAUGCGUAGAGAUCCGGAAGAACACCAGAGGCGAAGGCGGCCAGCUGGGCAUGAUCUGACGCUGAGGCGCGAAAGCGUGGGGAGCGAACAGG
rnacentral:rRNA from 1 species